rnacentral:rRNA from 1 species
UCGAUGACAGAGGUAGUAAUAAUAAAUAACAAUACAGGACUCGUCCGAGGCCUUGUAAUUGGAAUGUUUUUAAGAUAAAGACAUGAAGGAGGAACCAUUAGAGGGCAAGUCUGGUGCCAGCAGCCGCGGUAAUUCCAGCUCUAAUAGCGUAUUUUAAUGUUGUUGCGGUUGAAAAGCUCGUAGUUGGAUAUCAUUGAAUGUAUAAGUUCAAUGUGAAUUGUUCUUAUACAGGAGAGGGAAGUCUAGCGGUGAAAAUAAACUUGAAUGUUUAUAUCCACAUAACGCUUGGCUUAAGUUACUUUGAAUAAAUCAAAGUGCUCAAAACAAGCUUUUGCUUGAAUAGAUGUGCAUGGGAUAACGCAAGAAGAUCAAUAUCGAAUCUGUUGGUUGAAUCGAUAUGGGUAAUGAUUAAUAGAGAUUGACGGGGGCAUUUGUAUUUGAAAGCGAGAGGUGAAAUUCUGUGACCUUUCAAAGACAUGCUAAAGCGAAAGCACUUGCCAAGAAUGUUUUCACUAAUCAAGAACGAAAGUUAGAGGUUCGAAGGCGAUUAGAUACCGCCCUAGUUCUAACCAUAAACAAUGCCAACUAACAAUCUUGUGUAGUUUAAGUUGAAACUAACAAGGAAGUUUUCGGAAAACCAAAGUUUUUGGGUUCCGGGGGUAGUAUGGUUGCAAAGCUGAAACUUUAAAAGUAAUUGACGGAGUGGCACCACCAGGAGUGGAGCCUG